UGUUGUUUCACGACUUUUGCCUCAUUUCAUUUAUUUACCACUUGAUUUCAAAUGAAAGCAUUUAUAAUAUUCGUAGUCGUGCAUUUAUGUACGUAUUUAUACAUUCGUUAUACAUAUAUUUAUUUGCAUAAGCUCUAAAGACUAUUCAGCUCCGAUAAGCCAACUAAUUGACUCAUUUCUCGUAUUUUUUAAAUUCAGCAGAGAAAACGUAAAUACAUGUGUGUAUGUUGAACGAUGGCUAUUAAUAAAUGAAUUUAUCUAAUAUUUACGAUACCUUACUCCAUAUCGCUACGUUGGUUUGGGCGUUGUCUGCAUACUAAAAUUGCAUCGUGAAUAUUCCGUAAGCCAAUUUCGAAACACUAAAGUGAGUGCAUUUAUUAACACACAUCUCUUCCGUAACAAUGAGCCUAACAAUACGGCUCAAUGUCUUCAUUGUAUGCAUUAUGAUGAUGGUGCCGUGUUCCAAGACCGUGAAUCCAGUUGCGUGUCUCUCCAUCCAGACAGACACUGUGACUGGGUCAAUUCAAUUUGGCCAGCAAGUACUUUCCCCCAUACUUUCACCCGAUUUAUAUACUCGACUUCAAAGUGAGGCUGCCAAUCGUUCCAUCAAACAUUUAUAUUUAUAACAUUGGCCUUUAAAGAAUUAAACUGUAAUGGGCAGAUGGUUGGUUGUGCCAAUUAUGGAUGGAAUUAUGUAAAAUGAGUGGCUUAGGGAUGAAAAGUGAAAUAAAAUGAAGUUCUUCGUCCAACUCUAACCUCAA